rnacentral:lncRNA from 1 species
GUUCUGGGUUCAUUUUUACGUGGUAAAGAUGAGCUUGAAUGGAGAGAUGCUUUAGACCGACUAAAAACAAUUCCAUUAAAGGAAACUCUGAAGAUAUUGGAAGUAAGCUAUGACGGACUAGAAGAGGAUUACAAGGAAAUAUUUCUAGAUGUUGCAUGUAUACUAAAAGGUUGGUGGAAAGAAAGAGCAAUCAGAGCGCUUGAAAGCUGCGGAUUUCAUGCCAGAAGUGGUUUAAAAGUUCUUGAGCAAAAAUCUCUUAUAACUGUAUCUUCUAAUGGGCUCUUGGAUAUGCAUGACCAUAUAGAAGAAAUGGGUAAGAAUAUUGUUCGUCGUUUGCACCCCAAUGAGCCUCACAGACAUAGCCGAUUGUGGAUUAAAGAGGAGAUUGAAGAUAUAUUGGUUAAUAAUAAGGGUACUAAAGCAAUAAAAUGUA